UACGGGGGGGGCAAGCGUUGUUCGGAAUUACUGGGCGUAAAGGGCUCGUAGGCGGCCAACUAAGUCAGACGUGAAAUCCCUCGGCUUAACCGGGGAACUGCGUCUGAUACUGGAUGGCUUGAGGUUGGGAGAGGGAUGCGGAAUUCCAGGUGUAGCGGUGAAAUGCGUAGAUAUCGGGAGGAACACCAGUGGCGAAAGCGCCUUGCUGGGCCAGUACUGACACUGAGGAACGAAAGCCAGGGGAGCGAAAGGG
rnacentral:rRNA from 1 species